AUUGAACGCUGGCGGCAGGCCUAACACAUGCAAGUCGAACGAGUGGCGGACGGGUGAGUAAUGUCUGGGAAACUGCCCGAUGGAGGGGGAUAACUACUGGAAACGGUAGCUAAUACCGCAUAUCAUCGGAUGUGACCAGAGGGGAUUAGCUAGUAGGUGGGGUAAUGGCUCACCUAGGCGACGAUCCCUAGCUGGUCUGAGAGGAUGACCAGCCACCCUGGAACGUAGACACCGUCCAGACUCCGACGGUAGGCAGCAGUGGGGAAUAUUGCACAAUGGGCGCAAGCCUGAUGCCGCCAGGCCGCGUGUAUGAAGAAGGCCUUCGGGUUGUAAAGUACGUUCAGCGAGGAGGCGUUACUCGCAGAAGAAGCAUCGGCUAACUCCGUGCCAGCAGCCGCGGUAAUAC
rnacentral:rRNA from 1 species